CAUGGAGGGUGCAGCUGUUGGCGAAGGCCACCAGGUCCAUCGCAGACCUCAGCUCUUGGAGUGCUUUGUGCAUGCCCAGGAUGCCGUUUUUUUCAGAGAUGGGGAGCUGGACACCCUCUUCUACUACACACAUCCCCACUUCUGCCGUCACCCACAAAGAAUCAGGCAUAGAAGAUCUGAAGCCAAGCUUAUGUUCUGGCAUUUACUGGCUCUGUGGCCUCG